rnacentral:lncRNA from 1 species
GACUCUCCCUCAGACACUCAAGUCCCGGGACAGCCGCGUACCCAAGAAGACACUGAGACCAUACAUAAAAUGUAGAAGGUAAGAUUUAAUAUAGUAGCAACGUGAAAGCACACAGACCAGAGCUCUGGGGUCGAAAUAAAGCAGCAACAUGAAAGCACACAGACCAGAGCUCUGGGGUCGAAAUAAAACAGCAACAUGAAAGCACACAGACCAGAGCUCUGGGGUCGAAAUAAAACAGCAACAUGAAAGCACACAGAGCUCUGGGGUCGAAACUCAUACACCUUUGCACAGGGUAGAGGAGUCUCGACGACCAGCCAAAAUUUUUCACAGGCUUAUAUAGUAAAACUCAAAGGGGGAGAACUGGGCAGGGAAAGUACAAGUUUACAUCACUAGGGAGUUCUGCCAAAGGACAAGGGGUUCUGCCAAAGGAUUCUACGUAACUAAGGAGUCAUGUCUUAUCAUUUGGCAAUGUACCCGGUUCAUUUUGAGGUUUUUCUAGGAGGCCUUUAUCUCAAAAAUGUUUUCUUUAGAUGGGAGGGGGUGGGCUCCGAGGUAAAAAGUUUAUGUUCUUACAAGAGGCCAGUAAUUUUCCAUUCUUCAUUCCCCACUUCUUCUACUAAGUAAUUCUAAUCUUAGAAUUUCAGAAGUCUAUAUCUCUAUGUGGAGAAUACUGCAUUUACUCUAUCUUUAACAUGGGAACAAAAACAGAAUAAGGCGGAUUAGUAAACAGAACUAGGCAGGGACCCUUCUAGUGAGGCUUGAGGGUCUCAGCAUGACGCAGGUGUACGUAGAUCAGAUCUCUGGCUGGAACUGGUGAGUUGUCCUUGGGGUACCUGGCUCGUUUGCUGUAGUCAGUUGUGACCAGACUUCUUUCUGCACCACCUGUAAGCCUUAUAACUUAGUAUACAGAUUAUUAUUAUAACAACAUAGGUUUAAACACAUCAUUUAAGACAGUGAUGGGCAUAGGAGCCCCAUAAAGGAUCUCAAAAAGAGUAAAACUGAAUCAAGAGGGAGUAUUCUCAGUUCUAAAUAGGGCAAGGGAAAGGAGUACCAAGUAAGUCUGUGCCAGUCUCUAGGAUUAAUUUUGUCAAGGUCUGUUUAGAGUUUUAUUUAUUAUUUUUAUCUGUCCUGAGUUCUGAGGUCUGUACACAUAAUACAAUUUUUAUUUGACCUCUAAAUACUUGGCCACACCCUGGCUUACCUGGGCAACAAAGGCAGGACCAUUAUCUGACACUAUUGUUUUUGGCACUCCGAACCUUGGAAAAUUUUUAAUAAUCUUCUUGAUGACUAUUUGAGCAGUCUCAGUUUUACAAGGAAAAGCUUUUAUCUAUCUUGAGAACGUUCACAAAAACCAGAAGGUAUUCAUACACAUAUUUUUUUCAGCAAAGUCUAUUUUUCAGUAGAUGUCAGGUCUGUCUUUUCAUGAGAGGACUAGUUUUCUUUUUUCAGUUUUUACUAUUUUAUACAGGGUUUCUUUUACCAGUCUUAAUUUGUCUAUAACUUGAUAGUCUUUAGACUGUCAGGAUCAUUGCUCUUUAGGAUGCCUGGGCGGUUAGAUAUGCCAUCUGAUUUCUUUAGCCACAGCAUCUUAGGUCUUUUUCUGCAGAUGUCAACAGCUCUUUUUGUCUGUAUAUUGCUCUGUACAGUGGCAAGAGCAUACCUGCUGUCCGUGUAGACUUUUUUUUUACCAUUUAUAGAGCUUGUAUUAAAGCCACAAGUUUGGCUUUUGGGGCUGAAGUUCCUUUAGGGAGGCUGCUGGCCUAGAUCACUUGUUUUCUGUUCAUCACUGCACUGCUGUCCCCGUCUUCCGCUUACCUUUAACCUCUAGGCUACUGCCAUCCGUGUACCAGCUCAAACUCUCAGGCCAAGGCUGAUCUGAUCCUUCAGAUCAUUUUGAGUAUGAGUUCCUUCUGCCAGAAUGUCAGCACAAUGAUGAGUAGGUGAAGUCUCAGGCAGUAGUGAGAUUGAGGAUAGCAGGGGGAGCGAAGGUCACUCAUUCAGUCAACAAAAAGCUCUGAUAAUGUGUCCAUCGGUCAGUGGAAAAGCGUUAGUCAGCCAUCGGUCAUGGGGGCUGAACCAGACUUUCUAGGACAUGUGCCAAGUUUUGUCUCAGAGUCAAUUUAUCUGCGUCCUUGACCAGAAGCCACUAUGUGCAGACAAGCAGGCCAUCCUACAGCCACCAGGUCUAAUUUUUUAUAAGUAUGCCACAGGUCUUUUUUAGGAUCUUAAUCUCUGAGUAAGAACUUCUUUUGGCAAUACCUUUGUUCUCAGUCACAUCUAGGAGUCCCAUAGCUGGGGAUAACAUCAGGGCAGUCUUAAGAGCAUCCAAGGCCAUCUAAGAUUGUUCUCUUUUUUUUUUUUUAUAUACGAAGGGCUGUUUAUCUCUUUAACUCAGCAAAACCUGGAAUCCACAAUCUGCAAAAGUCCGCAGUGCCCAGGAACUUUUUAGCUUGUUUUGCACUGGUCGGUGGAGGAGUAUGAAACACAGUCUCUUUUUUAGCUGCUUUAACAGGUAGGCCACCGGACUCUUCUAAGGACUUAGCUUCUGUGUUAGCACCCCUUUUGUUAUCUCUUUACUUUUAGUCACGAACAGGUGAAGGGUUUGAUCAUGAGGGGGGCUCCUCUUCUUUUUAUUGGGGCAGUCUCUCACCCAGUGCUUUUUCUUUACAGUAUACACAUUGUUCUUUAGCCAAAAGCUUUCUUUUGUUGCCAGGUACUAUCUAAGUUUUCUAGUUUUCUUGACUUUUGUGGCCAGCAUUUUAUUUCUCUUAUCUUUUUGUCUCACAGCACAACUCUGAUUCUGACUCUGGUCUCUGUCUUUGCCAGCCUCAUGUUUUUUAACUCUUUUUUUUGUCUGACUCUUACUUACUGGUUCCUCUUUUAAAUAUUUUUCAUUCAGAGUAUCUCUCUCAUUUUAGACCUCUUUAAUUUUCUUUAUCUCUAUUUUUACUUUUUCUCACUGUUAACCUCUCUAUUUGCCACUGUCAUCUAUCUCUCCUGAGUCUGCUGAAGAUUUGCUUUUAGCUCACUUCUUUGCAGACCUCUAUCCUGUCUUUGUUUCUCCUCUUCUGCACUUUCUUAUCUAUUUACACUAACUUUCUUGCCAACUUACCCUGUUCUUCUCUUAACUUUUGUAACUUUUUGUUACCUUGUUCAGAUUGUUGGGACACUUUCUAGUCCCACAGAGACGAGACCCCCAUCAGAGCCUGGCAGUUAGACUCACAGGUGCUCCUUACCUUGGACAGAAGCCCCAAGUGGGCGGAUGCCUCCCUCACUGGAGCUUAGGACAGACUCACUGCCAGUAGCUCAGGGAGGUGCCACCUUCUGAGAAGAGGGAACUUUAGAGCAGAGACAGGAGUGCAGCUCUCACAGCUGGCUGUAUCGAGCCACUCAUAUCUCAAAGUGAAAGCAGUUUUUCUGUUAACAAGAGACUGGAUGCAAGGGACAGGGGAAUGAGAAGCUGCCAGGGAACCUGCAGCGCUCUUGGCCGGCUACUCGUACAGCCUCCUCUUCUUUUUUUUUUAGCAGCCACAACAUUUAGGCCACUGACUUUUUAGGGACCACUCCUUUUUUGCUCCGGAUUUCCGAGCUCAUUUCUCUCUAGGCUCCAGGUCCAUGGGCGGGACCACUGUGACCCGCUGGCUGCUCUCUGGAGUUGGAGUGGGAGGCAGGGCAGCUGAGGAUCUGAAAGGAAGUGGUCAGCAUAGGGAUCUGACAGGAUUCUUAGGCUUAUUUCAGAAGGCAUAACUCAAAAACAGUCGUCAGUCAUCAGUCCAAGUCCGAACACAGGAGACACACAAGACACACACAGAAUCCGUAAACCACAAACAAAAACAAGAUAAUAACAGACAACAUAGACGACUCACAAAAACAAACGUAAACAAACAAAAUUACCAAGCGACAGAACCAGAGUCAGAGAAAGGGGAGUGGACACAGAUUGUUCCAUUUCUAGAAAAACAGUAGUCACAACAAGAGCGGACACGAGACUAAGACAAAAAAGAAACCAGAAGAAUCAGAUGGCCUCUCUAAGGCCGGCCGAUUGAGACCCUCUGCACGAGGUGGGACUCGAACCCACGAUCUCGCAACCCCAAAUGGUCUCUUGGCCUUCAGAGGGGUCCACCAGGCGUCCCUGAUCCUCCCCUGUUCCUCUUAGGACGUCUCCCAGGGUGAACGGACGGUGGACACCUGGACACGUCUAUCCUUAUCCACCCCGCACUCCCUCUCGGAUUGCGGUCUCACUGAGCGUCCGCAAAACUGAAACUGCGAUCGCACCAAACUUAGAAACAGAACACAGACAUCAGACCAAAGCAGAACAAAGAAUCUUACCUCUAAGUGGGUCUAGGACCUCUGGGUGGUCGCGCUGAUUCCCGGCCAAUGCACCAAAUGAAAGACUCCCAAAGGGAGACUCUCCCUCAGACACUCAAGUCCCGGGACAGCCGCGUACCCAAGAAGACACUGAGACCAUACAUAAAAUGUAGAAGGUAAGAUUUAACAAUAAAGUAGCAACGUGAAAGCACACAGACCAGAGCUCUGGGGUUGAAAUAAAGCAGCAACAUGAAAGCACACAGACCAGAGCUCUGGGGUCGAAAUAAAACAGCAACAUGAAAGCACACAGACCAGAGCUCUGGGGUCGAAAUAAAACAGCAACAUGAAAGCACACAGAGCUCUGGGGUCGAAACUCAUACACCUUUGCACAGGGUAGAGGAGUCUCGACGACCAGCCAAAAUUUUUCACAGGCUUAUAUAGUAAAACUCAAAGGGGGAGAACUGGGCAGGGAAAGUACAAGUUUACAUCACUAGGGAGUUCUGCCAAAGGACAAGGGGUUCUGCCAAAGGAUUCUACGUAACUAAGGAGUCAUGUCUUAUCAUUUGGCAAUGUACCCGGUUCAUUUUGAGGUUUUUCUAGGAGGCCUUUAUCUCAAAAAUGUUUUCUUUAGAUGGGAGGGGGUGGGCUCCGAGGUAAAAAGUUUAUGUUCUUACAAGAGGCCAGUAAUUUUCCAUUCUUCA